CCGCCGCUGCUCCUUCCUGCCGGCCUCACCCUCCAGUACAACUGCUACCAGCGCAUGUAAAGGAAGUCCUGCUUCCUGCUGUCUGAAAGAGAUGACAGGCAGCUGCAGCGGGUAGCGCGGCUCCAUGGGUCACAUUCCUUAGGCUCCGUCCCUGCACUCUCCACUCCCAAGCAGCACAAGCACCCGGCGGAGAUACACCCGGUCCCACGACCUCCGCGAUCAGGACACCACAGAAACGCCGGGUAGCCACAGCAACAUCAGCUCGCUAGGUUGCCAUGGCAUCGUCGGGAUCCAAUGACGCGCAGGAACACCACGUGACCGAGGCGCCUACACGUCAUACAAACCGGUACAGAAGCGCAAGGCUCUCCCGGUCACUGCUGUCCUUCCCGCCGGAGGGUCUUUUUCGCCAUAAAGAAUUCAAACAACCGGAGGACUGGACGAGACGUACAGAAUGACGCCAUCUAGGAGUGACUUCACAGAGAUCUGACACCUUAACAGUGACUGUUUUUGGACGUAUCAUUGUUACCAUAAGAGUUGGUUUAUGAUAUUUUCUCACAUUGGUUUAUGGUGAAUGCAGUGAGCGCAUUAUGAUUGGAUACAUUUUCCAUAAGUUAAGAAGUAUUAGCCACCAGAGUCGAUCAGGCCCUGGGGAUAUACUGCAGAUGGACGGCAUCCAAGUGAGAAUAACUGGAUCUGGAGCACUGAUCCAACACAUUUUGACCUGCAUAUGGGUCUUUUAAAAAAAUCUGGGUCUUCUGAAAAAAAAUGUCCAUAUUUCAUUUGGCUAGAUGACUGAAUUGAAAAAAUUAUACCUGACAAAAUUGGUGCAUCUAGUUAAUAUUAAGGGAAUGAGCAUAUGAUUUGUGUUUCAUUUAUUGAUUUUGACUUAGUAUAAUGCAUCAGUUGUGCUAAACAAUUCAGUGACUGUGGAAAAGCCUCAUAGUCUUUGUCAGAGUCAUAUAACACUUUCCAUGAGAUAUGUAGGAACUACUGUAUAUAGUAAUUUUGCUAUCGCUUGGAUGAAUUAAAAUUGCUAUGGAAUGCAAUG